GUGAGUCAUCGAAUCUUUGAACGCACAUUGCGCCCCUUGGUAUCCCGAGGGGCAUGCCUGUUCGAGCGUCAUUUCACCACUCAAGCCUGGCUUGGUAUUGGGCGCCGUCCCCGCAGCGGACGCGCCUCAAAGCUCUCGUGCGGCGCGGCACCGGCUUCGAGCGUAGCAGAAAUCUUUCGCUUUGGAAGCCCGGGGCCUCGCCCGCCGGAACGCCCACUCAAGGUUGACCUCGGAUCAGGCAGGGAUACCCGCUGAACUUAAGCAUAUCAAUAAGCGGAGGA
rnacentral:misc_RNA from 1 species